CACUGCUCCGACUUAUCACGUCUGCACAGCGGCCGCUAACUCAUUCCGUCGGCUACUUGCGUCUCUCCACCAGCUAUGACCAGCGUCUUCACCUAUGGUGCCUAUGGCCCCAACCCCAUGGCUAAGAAGUACGGCGAGAUGGCCGUGAAGUCGUCGAAGUGCGGAUCGAAGAACUUUGUGUACACCAAGGCGCACGAUGAUCCGCAUAGCUUCCCGCGGCACCACCAUCGCCAGGGCGACAACCCCGUGCGGCUCUCCUUCACGUGGGCUCGCUGGCGGUGGAUAGUGCAUGACUUUCGCAUGUUCGGCCUCUUUGGCGCUCUGCGGAGGCACUACUACAUCGGUGAGGCCUGGCGCCGCAAGGAUGAGAAGAUCUUUGUCGGAAAGGACGAGAACGGCAACAAGUACUGGCAGAGCCGUCGUGCACAAGGUACGUACUUUGUACGCAUACUCGAGCCGGUUGAUCCGCACUGGUUCCGCGGCCAGUCUCCACACGCAGCCAGCCCGAUGUGGCUGAAGUGGAUGCAGGGUGGCGCCGCGCACACUCCGGCGCAGAUGAAGGCGCGUGGUGAGUGGGGGUACAACUCUCGUCUUGGAAUCCCCAUGCCGUUCAACAUCAAGUACAACGAGUGGUCGCCGCUCAACGCCGGCAACAUCUACACACGCGAUCCGAUGUGGGUAGCCACGACGGGUCUCCUCGUCAAUCCGGAACGCCGCGCACUGCAGGAGGCGGGCUUCUCGCGGUGGAUGUGGCAGAAGGGCCUGCCGGUCUACAUGCCCUUUUGCGGUGUGCAUGACUACUCGGAUGAGCUGGUGGAGGAGUUCUACCGUGGCCAGUGGGCCUUUGGCCACGAGAGCAAAGGUAACGAUCAUGAUGAGUGGCGCAACUAAUCGGUACAAGUGGACGGCCACGCAGGCGGCAGUGUGUGUGUGUGUGUGUACUUGUCUGCUCUGCGUGUUUUUCUUUUUGAAGAAAAAGACAAGGUGCGGCUUGCCCAUUAUCGCACGUAGGUCCUCCUCCCCCUCCCUCCCUCUUUGCUGUUUCGGUGCCGUAGAAGAUGUGCCUCCUGUUCCCGCGUCGCUGGCUCUUAACAUCUCGGAUGCGGUCCUCUGGUGUUUCUGCUGUAGUUUCUUUGCUUGCUCCUUCCGGCCCAAUGGAGUGGCCUCGUGGACCGCGGUGUGCGAGCGUGAUUUCUUCUUUCGGGCCGCAUCACAUGUGCGUUUUGCUUCUUUCACGGUGCUGUGUCCCACACCUCCUCACUUUCCAUCCUUUCCUAUCCGAGUGCUGCCGCCCGUGUUGAGGAUCUCAUGGAGCGGGCCAUCUGUGUUGUUGUCUCGUGCGUCCACACGGCGAAUG
rnacentral:misc_RNA from 1 species